GCAGAGCGGGCAGCGUACAACUAGAACGAGUGUGCUUGAAGUACAGAAGUAUACUGAUUGGGACGCUCCUGUUCUGCAGUAACCAAACUUUCGUUGCCUAGCAACAACAGGACUCGCCGCCACCGCGAGCUAGUUCAACUUCAGUGCAGCAGAGCCAGGCAAGGACUUCCUCUGGAUGGUGGCAGAUUGACAACCUCACAUCAGUGAACAUGAAUCUCAUAACUGAUUGGAAAAAUAAAUAAAGUUUUGCACACAAUGUG